UUGCUCUUGGUCAGUGGUCUGCGUGGUCGGUGGCCUGGGGGGCUACUUGCCGGGCUGAGCGUAUUGGCGCGGUUUCGGUUCUCGCAAGGUGGU
rnacentral:tRNA from 1 species